CGCGGUAGGAUAGUAGAUCGCGACUUUACUGACGUUCGUUAACGGUGAAGAAUGAUUCGCGAUUGGCAGAUCGUGUGCGUCACGACAGAGAGCGCAGAGCUGAAAGUCGCGUGUGGAACUUUUCAUCCGGGAAUGAUUCAAGGAGUUUCCUCGAAAGCUCGAUAGUGCGAGUACGCAACACAAACGCAUACGUGGAAAUUAUUAGAGUUUUCCUCUUUCACAUGUCUCCUGGAUAAAUAAAAUACGACACGCGUUCGUUCUGGGAACUGUGAGGAUAUCGUUGAAGUGAUUCGGUGCAAGUGCACAAAUUCAACGGACGAAAAUGAGCUCACAUUUGAAUCCGUCAUCUGGCGAGAUAGAUCACAUUCACUUUGUUUCUGAGGAUGUCGGAGCUUUAUAUCGUACUGAAGAUUAUUCAGAUGUUACACUAGUAGUGGCUGGUCAAAAAUUCAAUACUCACAAACUUAUUCUUGCCGCACGUAGCGAUUACUUUCGAGCUCUGCUGUUUGGUGGUAUGAGGGAAUCCACACAAAACGUAAUAGAACUGCCAAGUGCCACAUUGCCUGCAUUUAAAGGCUUGCUCAAAUAUAUAUAUACCGGUCGUAUGUCUUUAGCCAAUGAACGUGAUGAGGUAAUCCUUGAUACUCUUGGAUUAGCACAUUUGUAUGGUUUUUUGGACCUUGAAGCUGCGAUAUCUGAUUAUCUCAGAGAGAUACUUAGCAUAAAGAAUGUUUGUUUAAUUAUAGAUACUGCAUUUUUAUAUCAGCUAGAUUUUCUAACUAGGGUUUGUCUUGAAUAUAUGGAUAAACAUGCACCUGAAGUCAUUCAACAUGAGAAUUUUUUACAAUUAAGUCCAGAAGCUUUAAACAAAUUAAUCUCCAGAGAUUCCUUCUAUGCACCAGAGAUAGACAUCUUCUUGGCUGUAGAAUCGUGGGUCAAAGCCAACCCCGAAGUUAAUGCAAGCGAAGUUUUAUCUCGAUUAAGAUUGAGUCUAAUUUCGAUCACGGAUCUUCUGAACGUCGUGAGACCAACUGGGCUUGUUUCGUCGGAAGCGAUCUUGGAUGCGAUAUCCGCGCGCACGCAGACGCGCGAUUCGGAACUCGAAUAUCGUGGCCGUUUACUGGUCGACGAGAAUGUUGCCCAUCCGAUGCACGGUGCUCAGGUGUUACAGGGAGAGAUGCGUAGUUAUCUGUUGAACGGAGAUACCAUCAACUAUGACAUGGAACGUGGUUACACGAGGCAUACUAUAACAGAAUCGGCAGAACAGGGGAUCUUAAUCAAGUUAGGGACACAAUGUAUUAUAAAUCAUGUGAAGAUGUUACUGUGGGAUCGAGAUAUGCGAUCUUAUUCGUACUACAUAGAGGGAUCUAUGGAUCAGAAGGAUUGGGUCAAACUAAUCGAUCACUCGGAUUAUUUUUGCCGCAGUUGGCAAUAUCUAUAUUUUGAACCGAGAGUGGUUCUUUACAUUCGUAUUGUAGGGACGAAUAACACAGUAAAUAGGGUCUUUCACGUCGUGAAUUUUGAAGCGUACUACACAAACCAUACGGAGGAACUUAGCGACGGCUUCGUUGUACCGACGCAAAAUGUCGCUGUUGCGGAAAGAAGCGCGUGCGUUAUAGAGGGUGUGAGCAGAUCACGCAAUAAUUUAUUGAACGGCGACACGUCCAACUACGAUUGGGACAGUGGUUACACGUGUCAUCAACUUGGCUCCGGAGCUAUUUUGGUGCAAUUGGGACAGCCAUACAUGAUACAUUCUAUGCGGUAUAGUUCCAGUAUUAUGCCGUCAAAAACCGUUCCAUAUUAUUACUUUGGGAUUGCGAUAAUCGUUCAUACUCGUAUUACAUAGAGGUAGCGGGCAACACCUGGGACUGGUCAGUAAUUGCUGACAAAACUAGGGAGUCCUGUCGGUCUUGGCAAACGAUACAUAUUAAUCCACCUCGUCCAGUAGUUUACAUACGUAUAGUGGGGACUCACAAUACUGCGAACGAGGUGUUUCACUGUGUUCAUUUUGAGUGUCCAGCACAAGUGGAUGAUAAGUCUCCAAAAUCGUCAGCCCAACGGGGAGUAUCGUCGAUAUCGCCGAGUAGUAACAAUCCUUUACCACCUCCACCUCCUCCCGAAGUGGCUACGGAAGCGGUUAAUUUCAACGACGACGUUCAAACUAACUAAAGUGAGGGCGG